GAUGAACGCUGGCGGCGCGCCUAACACAUGCAAGUCGAACGGUUAAAGCAUCUUCGGAUGUGUAUAAAGUGGCGAACGGCUGAGUAACACAUGGGCAACCUGCCCUUUGCACUGGGAUAGCCUCGGGAAACCGAGGUUAAUACCGGAUACUCCAUAUUUGUCGCAUGGCGAAUAUGGGAAAGCUCCGGCGGCAAAGGAUGGGCCCGCGGCCUGUUAGCUAGUUGGUGGGGUAGUGGCCUACCAAGGCAAUGAUGGGUAGCCGGGUUGAGAGACCGACCGGCCAGAUUGGGACUGAGACACGGCCCAGACUCCUACGGGAGGCAGCAGUGGGGAAUCUUGCACAAUGGGCGAAAGCCUGAUGCAGCGACGCCGCGUGCGGGAUGAAGGCCUUCGGGUUGUAAACCGCUUUCAGCAGGCACGAGGCCGCAAGGUGACGGUACCUGCAGAAGAAGCCCCGGCUAACUACGUGCCAGCAGCCGCGGUAAUACGUAGGGGGCAAGCGUUAUCCGGAUUCAUUGGGCGUAAAGCGCGCGUAGGCGGUCUGUUAGGUCAGGAGUUAAAUCUGGGGGCUCAACCCCUAUCCGCUCCUGAUACCGGCAGGCUUGAGUCUGGUAGGGGAAGAUGGAAUUCCAAGUGUAGCGGUGAAAUGCGCAGAUAUUUGGAAGAACACCGGUGGCGAAGGCGGUCUUCUGGGCCAUGACUGACGCUGAGGCGCGAAAGCUAGGGGAGCGAACAGG
rnacentral:rRNA from 1 species